rnacentral:lncRNA from 10 species
GUCAUUCACAGAGCUUGAUUAACCACAGACUUAAAUUUCAGGAGGAAGUAAGCUAUGAAAAAUCUGUAACCUCUGCCUGUCAUAUGCUUAGUUUGUUAAAGAAAACUAGAGAAGGAGCUUGUUAUUCUUUAAAUAGAAAAGCUCCAAAAAGCCCUAAAAUGUUUUAUCUGAAUAAGUUCUCUCAGUAGGUAUCUUAAGAAUAAUAGAUUAUAGUCAGGGGUUAGGGGCCAGCUCACAAGACUGAUGCAAGUUCUUUAAGUUGUGAUUGUGUCUGAUGAAGAGGAAUGCAUACUUACAUAUUUGUGUAAGGAAGAUUUCCUUAUUGUCAUUUCCUUCCAUCGCUUGGUCCAUAAAAGCAAAGAGGAAGGAAGGGAGGUCUGUGGUCAUACACACUGUCACCCAUGCUAAGAGAAAAGGUAGUUGAGAGCUCUGCCUGCCCACGUGCCCAUCUGCUGGGUCAUCCUUGUCCUAUCAGGAGAGAAAGAGCACUUCCUUUCCUCAGUGGGACUGGGAGGAGGCAGCAGCCUCAGGCAGCUGGAAGGUGUGCCCCUGGGCCUCACACAGCUCUGGGGAGGUGGCACAGGGCUUCCUCUUUCAUAGAGCUAAUUAGGUUCUUAUCUGUGCUACCAGAUGAGCCCAGCUGCCAGCUCCUUACUUCAUCUCAACCAAUCCAACAGGCUAUUCAAACCAACACUGAUAUUAUUCUAGCAAUAUGUUUAUGUAUUUUGGACAAAAGUUUAAAGUAAUUUAGUCCUCCAUCUGUCACCUUCAGGCUAAAGUCCUUUAUUUUCUUGGUGCAUUGACCAUGGGGCUCCAUCUAGGCUCUGAAAGGAUAUUCCCUCAAGGCCCUGAGCUAGAGACCACAGGGUAACUCUACAUGCUGUUCUCCUAAUAAGAUUUUGGUAACAUCUGAUUGUUUGCUAAAAUCCCAUUCAAAGCUCCUUCUACCUGGGCAGAGCCUGCCAAGUUGAGUUCAGCUUCAGUUGGAUGAGUAUGUCAAAGUCCCUGGCCAUUCGAAUAGCCAUUUACCUAAGGCAAGAGCAAAUGCUGGCUAAAGCAUCUAAUCACCAUUUAUUUAUGUUGGUGAUGUUGGGAUUUGAGAGCACAGAGUGGAAGGUAGAAACAGGGUAGUGUCUGUAACUACCGUCAGAUCUACUUCUUCACUUUCAUUUUUAACAUACAAGGUCCUUAAAAAAACCUUGGAUUUUUUUUUUGUUGCGGGGGCGGGGUAGAGAUGAGGUUUCGCUAUAUUGACCAGGCUGGUCUUGAACUCCUGGCCUCAAGUGAUCCUUCUGCCUCAGUCCCCCAAAGAAAACCUAGCAGUUGAAAAAUGAUCAAUUCAUAUAAAGAGAAACUGAAAAAAGACUUUUGCCUUGUCCCCAGCAGGCUGAGGAAUUACCAAGGAGGCAGGAGGUGGAGCAAAACACACCAAGCCUGGUGCCAAUCAUUGACAAUAUUAUGGUUAGUACUUACUGAGGGCUGACUAUGGUUGAAACUGCCUUUGCAAAAUUAUGACUGAGACGGUGAAAGAGAUCUAACUUAACCAACGCUAGCUAUCUUGCCUCUAACCUCCAAGCUGUCCUUGUUCAUUCCUGGGCAUAGGCUGAACUAACUUUGGGAGAAAUUUAGUUUAUAGUUUGAAACAAAGAUGAUAACAGCCCUUUGCCAAAGCAGACCUCCUUCUUGUCUGGGGACUAGAUGGCCUUUGUAGGACUAACAUGAGCCACAAGAUUAGAAAUUAUGGAUAGGAGUCAUGCAGCUGGAGUCUCCAAGAUUCUGACCCUCCCUAAACUGCUCCCAAGAUCAAUGCUUGAGAUAUUUUGCAGACCCUGCAUGUGAUGGAUCAGCUGACACCAUCCAGAUCGGUAAACUGGUUCAUCUGAUCUUGUGCCCUCCACCCAGGAACUGACUCAGCGCAAGAAGACAGCUUCGACUCCUUGUGAUUUCAUCCCUAACCAAUCAGCACUCCUGGCUCACUGGCUUCCCCCAACCCACCAAAUUGUCCUUAAAAACUCUGCUCUCCAAACGCUGGGGGAGACUGAUUUGAGUAAUAAUAAAACCCUGGUCUCCUGC